UAGUCAUUAGUUCCUCUUCCAUUUGUAUAAAUUCCCUUCCUUUAGUUCUCUGAGUUGUCAGUUAUUGUAUGUGGUUACCCUUCGUGUAUUGAUAUUCCCUUCAUCUUUCCCUGUGGAUGUAUUUAAAAAGAAUUAAGAUUAUCUUCGUUGUAUGCUCUUCUGUCUUCAUUCCAUCAGGUAAUCAUGAACGUUGAUUCUACUUAAAGCCACAUGAGGGCGGUGUAUAGGCAGUGCAGUCAUUCCAGAUGGCCUCAAUUGCUUCAUUCUUGGCCUGCCAAACAGACGUUAUCGACAGAGCAAUCCAGCUGAUGAUAGAUCCUCAUUCAGCUGCCCUCCUGCAUGGAUGAAUUCGGGAGAACUGUAAAUGAGGACUGGCAUAUGGCAUUUUCAUUGUAGCUGUUUGAAAGUUCAGUGACAUUAUUAAGCAUACACUCACCCUUCAUUUCUGGUGACAUGAUGGACUGAAGAGGACAUUACAACA